rnacentral:rRNA from 1 species
AACGAACGCUGGCGGCAGGCUUAACACAUGCAAGUCGAGCGCCCCGCAAGGGGAGCGGCAGACGGGUGAGUAACGCGUGGGAAUCUACCGUGCCCUGCGGAAUAGCUCCGGGAAACUGGAAUUAAUACCGCAUACGCCCUACGGGGGAAAGAUUUAUCGGGGUAUGAUGAGCCCGCGUUGGAUUAGCUAGUUGGUGGGGUAAAGGCCUACCAAGGCGACGAUCCAUAGCUGGUCUGAGAGGAUGAUCAGCCACACUGGGACUGAGGCACGGCCCAGACUCCUACGGGAGGCAGCAGUGGGGAAUAUUGGACAAUGGGCGCAAGCCUGAUCCAGCCAUGCCGCGUGAGUGAUGAAGGCCCUAGGGUUGUAAAGCUCUUUCAACGGUGAAGAUAGUGACGGUAACCGUAGAAGAAGCCCCGGCUAACUUCGUGCCAGCCGCCGCAGUAAGAC